UUUUUGUUAUUUUUACUUUGUUGACGUAUUAUUUUUUUUUUAUUUUGUUUAUUUUCUUGCUUUUUGCAACCGCGUGAACGCGUUUUCUGCGCUACAGACUGCGUUUUUCCGACUCCUUUGUUUGAUAUCGUGUCGUAUCGCCGUAUUUAUGGAGUUAUUAGGAACGGCAAGCCUACGUUGUUGCGUCCUUUACCUGAAUAUCGUGACCGAAUCGAGUGUCGUCGAUUUGAAUCGUGUCUUGCGAACCAUCGUCGAACAAAAGGUCAUGGCUGGUCGCGGUUCAUCAGCGUUUGUUUUGAAACUGAUGGGUACCACAAGGCAUGAAAGAGGUGACUUGCAGCAGCAAGACACUGCAAGCCUUCGCAGCAACUGGCUAGCCAGUGCUGCUCUGUUCUGAACUGCACUGCGUGUCAUGCGGAGGGUUUGUGCAAGCUCUCUGGGCAGCGACGCUAGCCACGGUAAGUGCAUUCUAUGCAGCUUUCUUUUAGGGAUAUAUGUGGCUCGCAGGCCAUGUCGUGCCAGCGAAAUAUGUGCCACCCGAGUGACAGCAGUCCUAGUCGCAAGGCUGCGCUGACAGUAAUCAGCACUGCACUGUGUUUUCAUUCAAUAACUAGUGACAAGGAACCAAAUACUCCCGAGAGAGUCUCGGUGGUGCUUUGAUGAACUCCAGCUCGCUUAUGAACAGGUGGAUGGCACAGAUGGCUUUUCCUGGUGGACUUGGUGUCUGUGUUAACAAUGCAACCAGACUUUCUUUCAGUUUGUGGCGUUUUUUCGUUGCGGGUGACCAGCAUUGCAGUAGAAAAAGGUGCCAAAUAGUAUAAUGUUUGCAUUCGUUACCUAAAUUAAUGGCAAGAACAACUGACCUACAUUUCCACCGACUGCAUUUCUCGGAGGAAUAGCCUGGACUAAAAAGCUCGCUACACUAUGUCGUUCCCUCUUAGCCUGUACAACUCUGCGUCUUCCCUCGAUUUGUCUUAUCUGGCUGCUUCUGUGUCUGCCUAGGCACUCGGUGGAAAUGGGGAAAGCUGUCUGCGUUGCACAUAACCGCCAUAAGAGCCAGCGUGGGCGUAGCUGGGGUAGCCCCCACUAUGGCUUCUCCAGCUCGACACAAGUAACAUUCCUACCGCUGUCGUGUUAGCAGAAAACAGACCUGCUUAAAACGUACAGUGCACGUAGUACACAAUGGAGUGGUUGCUCGCCAAUCAUUUUCUUGGGAGUGUGAGUUGAGCCCCUUCGAGGCAGUUUGCUUCCGCACCGUGCACUAUAAUCGGCCCGAGAAGAGAAAACAAGAUGAAUAACCAGUAGGAUUUCUUUGUUCCAAGGCUUCUUGACGCAGAAAAAGACUAGGGAACCAGUAUUGUUGCUUUUUACUACCCCGUGCGAGACUCAAACCCGACAUGCAAGGAAGUGGAAAGACCUCUUCCUUUCUGCUUUCUUGUGCCUUGGGUUUUAGUUGUGUUCACAAUUCACAGCUCGCCUGCAUGCCUACUCUUUUGUUCACUGUGUUACUGAAGUUUUUUGUCGUUGCUGUCCCAGAUUGGCUUCAUGGAUGCACAGAAAUACUCAAGGCGCUUGACGUCUGUGGCUCAUCUGUAUUGUUUUUCCCGGUACCACGGCAUGGAAGGAGCUGGCCUCCCUCCCUUCCAUCAGCUGCGAUAUACUACAAGCACUGGGCUACAGCUGCAGCUAGCCCAUGGGUACCGUUCAGCGUCCUGUACUGCAUCUAGUUUGAAAGGCCAUGUGAAAGGCAGGUGUGGUCUUUAUGGGCUCUGUCACUAUGUGCAUUUUCUGCAGCUUUUUCGGGGCAACUUCAUAUUAAGAUUCAAUACGGACUUGAGUGAGAGGGGGGCAUUCUGAGAAAGCCAGCCUCUUUCUUAAACCAUUGGGACUGGUAUUAUAUCUAUAGAGUUAAUUUACACCUUACGUUAUGUACUUUUUUAUUUAUUUUUAUUUUACUAGUUACUUAUACUUCAAUCUGACACGACAGCCACCAAAAAUGGGGAAAGGACAAAAAUGUUGACAUAUUGGCCUUUUUUUUUUCUGGCAGUUUGUUUGAAGAGUCAAUGUUGGGGGCAGUGAUUCAUGUUAUUUUUCCCACACGCACGUCCAUCCUAUGUUUACGUAGAGCCCCAAUUGCCCCUUAGCAACAAAAAUAAUUUAUGCGACAGACUAGGCGGCAGCAUUGCGGACGAAAACAGGCCAGAUUAUAUCUGCCAUGUUUAAAAACUACAUUCGGUGACAGGUUAUGAAUUCAGUGGCAAAAUGCACACCGCCUGCCAAUCACUGCCGUCAGUUGUCGUGACGUCACGUCCUGCUAAGAAACUAGAAACCAGUAUAUAUUUUUUUUAAAUGGCAGGUUUUGGUUGCUGAUGCCACGUAGCACGUCGGCACUCUAAGCAAUUCUUCUGCUCUUGGCCUCCGGUUUUACCUUGCAAAGUCAUGACGGUGUCUGCUUUUGUUUGCGGUAUUUCCCGUGUGUCGACGUGAGAAGGCAGCGGUUGUGUCGCCAAGGAAGUAGCGAUCAAUCUGCGCAUUUGUUCCAGCAGCACAGCGUUAACAAACCGGACUUUGCCCUUCACCGAAAGGAAAGUCUACCGACUGGCCCUACAGUUGGCGAGCAUUGUGCAGCCGUGAGCGCGUAACUUGUCCAAAUGCUUUCGUCUGUAUACAGUGACAAAAUGACUCGCUGAAAUGCGAAGUACCAUACAGUACCAUGCCGUACAGCAAACCAUCGAUCACUUGCUGCAGCAACUUUGCGUUUUAAGUCGUAAUAAUAAAGUGAUUUUUAGGCUAAAAUCAUUUUUUCAUACUGCUCAAUUAUUCGGAAUUCUGCACGAUCCCCAUCGGGUCUCCAGUAUCGGUCGGUGGCUGUAUAACCUUUAAACACAAUGGUUACACACCACAGGUACCGGGGACCAUGACAUCAAUGAGCUGGCUUUCACCUUGUCCAAGGCAGCAGCGGAACACUACGGGCGGGACCCUGGAUCACUGCACCAUGGAUGCCGUCCUGUACCCUGCACGGCACUGCGUGUGGCUUAAGUGGCCAAGCAGAGAGUCAUUGCAUGACUUUUAUGAGGUGCCGCUAGCCAUUGUUUCAAACCGUCCUGAAUCACGGACCAAGCCUUGCAAGGCCUCACUCUUAUGCCCUCUCCUUUUUGGUGGAUCGGGUCUUGCCAUCUUCCCCUCUCGUGGUUCCCUGUCAUAAAUAAAUUGUAUUUUUUUCUGA